GGGUGGGGAAGGGCGCCCUGAGAUUCUGACCUUUCUAACCUGUUUUCAGGCGUUGCCACUGGUUCAUGGGCCACACUCAGAAGCACUCAAAUUAAACUGGUGUGGGCACUGUGAGCAAGUGUAGUGGGCAAGUGCAGGUGCUGGGCACCGUGCCUGGAAGGGCAGUCACAGCAGGCACUGAGCGAGCACUUCUGAGGGCCUGAACACUGCCCCAGCUGCUCAAGGUCAAUUCCUGAUUUUACAGCCAAGAUUCUGCAGCUGUGAGGUUACGUGACAUUGUUAAGGUCUCCCAAGUGCCACCAGCAGGGGCUGCAACAGGAAGCCGGACAGUCCAGCCCCAGAGCCCGGGUUCCUCACUCCAACUCUCAACACCCCCUGCAGUUUUCUGUUCAAGCCCCACAAUCAUGGCAAGAGGAGGAAAGAGACUCCAGAUGUGGCUGGAUUUUCUGGCUCCAGGACCCCGGGCUUGACUCCCCUUCUCCUUCCACAAGUGCCCAGAACCCAGGAGGAUGAAGCAGGGUCUGCUGGCUCAGGAAGCACUGCUGUGGCCGCGCAGGCUGGCCUCCUCCAGUCGCAGGAGAGGCUGCCCCAACCGACAGGCUCCCAGGGCUGGACAGGACCGGAUGGGACUCUGGACUUGUCAAGGUCACCAGCGUUCUUGGCUAGGGCGGAAACUUGGGAAAUGAAACCAGCCGUCACCUCGCUGCAACCCGGCCACAGAUUUCCAACGGCCAUGCCAGGCGGGCCUCACCCCUGCCACAGUCUAAGGCCUCUGCCCUCCUCCCUGGGGCCCAGGGGAGCACCGCCAA
ensembl:lncRNA